ensembl:lncRNA
GUUGGAGUUACACUGUCGUUGAAGGCCAAGGUGAACAGAACAAGGAUUUUCUAAGGAUUUAAGAACCUCUUUUCAGGACAAGCAGCCAACGAGGCCGCCCUUGUGUCAUGCUGAAACCGCCACAGAAGAAAUGGGAGUAGAGAACACAGAGGAAACUGCCAGGACUUCAGCAUGGUUCUCUUAUUUUGGCUGGUAUGAUGAAGAGCGAUCACUGAAGACUGGAGUUCCCCUGGUUGUUUUCCCUCCCAUCGACAGGCAUUGGAAUACGUAUCGGAAGGGGUAGCGAGCAAAGGACCAGCGUUGAGCGAGGAGCCCGAGUACUGGUACGCUGAUUUGGAGCACUAGCUCCAUGAGAAAUCUGCGGACUACCGCUAGUAAAGGGUGAGGAAUGCCGGGUGUGCAGACCGCUGUUUUGGUCCAGCAGAGACCGAGAUCUCCGGCGGCUGAAGGGUGGUUCUUGAAUCGGACAGAUACUGUUCAAUCCUCGUUUCUGCCAAUCACGCAAAGAUGAGGACAACACCCAAACUGGCACGUAAGUAGCAUUACAGUCUAGAGUGGUCCGGGGACAGUGAAAAGCAGCAUGCGCGUGUACAGUGCACAGGAGUGUGAUAGAGUAUCUUAUUAGGAGCUUCAGUGGUUGGUGUUUUUUUGCCAUUGGUGUAUCGGGCAUAAUUUAAAGCUCCUUCAACACUAGCAAGCAUUACAUUUCAAGUAGAUUUUCUAAUUAGGCCUAUCAAUUGAAUGCUUUUUGAUUUGUUUCUUUUGCAGGCCUACUGGCUUUUUUUCCCUCUUUUUUUUGCAGAUAAUUCUGGUCUAGUGUGUGUGGGUGUGUGUGUGUGUGCGUGUGUGUGUGUGUGUGCGUAUAUAUA